rnacentral:piRNA from 1 species
UGAAAUUUGUUUACCCCUGUUCCA